rfam:Pan troglodytes isolate Yerkes chimp pedigree #C0471 (Clint) chromosome 21, whole genome shotgun sequence.
CUUUCAGUGUAAGUACGUCCCAUGUAACAUUUGGGAUAUACUUACACUAAAA